rnacentral:rRNA from 1 species
GGAAUUUUGGACAAUGGGGGCAACCCUGAUCCAGCCAUGCCGCGUGAGUGAAGAAGGCCUUCGGGUUGUAAAGCUCUUUCAGUUGGGAAGAAACGGUGUGCUCUAACAUAGCGCGCUAAUGACGGUACCGACAGAAGAAGCACCGGCUAACUACGUGCCAGCAGCCGCGGUAAUACGUAGGGUGCGAGCGUUAAUCGGAAUUACUGGGCGUAAAGGGUGCGCAGGCGGUUGUGUAAGACAGGUGUGAAAUCCCCGGGCUCAACCUGGGAAUGGCGCUUGUGACUGCACGGCUAGAGUACGGCAGAGGGGGGUGGAAUUCCACGUGUAGCAGUGAAAUGCGUAGAGAUGUGGAGGAACACCGAUGGCGAAGGCAGCCCCCUGGGCCGAUACUGACGCUCAUGCACGAAAGCGUGGGGAGCAAACAGGAUUAGAAACCCUGGUAGUCC